rnacentral:rRNA from 1 species
GAUGAACGCUGGCGGCGUGCCUAAUACAUGCCAGUCGAGCGAACGGACGAGAAGCUUGCUUCUCUGAUGUUAGCGGCGGACGGGUGAGUAACACGUGGAUAACCUACCUAUAAGACUGGGAUAACUUCGGGAAACCGUAGCUAAUACCGGAUAAUAUUUUGAACCGCAUGGUUCAAAAGUGAAAGACGGUCUUGCUGUCACUUAUAGAUGGAUCCGCGCUGCAUUAGCUAGUUGGUAAGGUAACGGCUUACCAAGGCAACGAUGCAUAGCCGACCUGAGAGGGUGAUCGGCCACACUGGAACUGAGACACGGUCCAGACUCCUACGGGAGGCAGCAGUAGGGAAUCUUCCGCAAUGGGCGAAAGCAUGACGGAGCAACGCCGCGUGAGUGAUGAAGGUCUUCGGAUCGUAAAACUCUGUUAUUAGGGAAGAACAUAUGUGUAAGUAACUGUGCACAUCUUGACGGUACCUAAUCAGAAAGCCACGGCUAACUACGUG